UACGUAGGGUGCGAGCGUUGUCCGGAAUUACUGGGCGUAAAGAGCUCGUAGGUGGUUUGUCGCGUUGUUCGUGAAAACUCACAGCUUAACUGUGGGCGUGCGGGCGAUACGGGCAGACUGGAGUACUGCAGGGGAGACUGGAAUUCCUGGUGUAGCGGUGGAAUGCGCAGAUAUCAGGAGGAACACUGGUGGCGAAGGCGGGUCUCUGGGCAGUAACUGACGCUGAGGAGCGAAAGCGUGGGGAGCGAACAGG
rnacentral:rRNA from 1 species